UAUAAUUCCGCGUGUAGCGGUGAAAUGCGUAGAGAUGUGGAGGAAUACCGGUGGCGAAUGCGGCCUUCUGGACAGAUACUGACGCUGAGAUGCGAAAGCGUGGGGAGCAAACAGGAUUAGAUACCCUGGUAGUCCACGCUGUAAACGAUGUCGAUUUGGAGUUUGUUGCCUAGAGUGAUGGGCUCCGAAGCUAACGCGAUAAAUCGACCGCCUGGGGAGUACGGCCCGCAAGGUUAAAACUCAAAUGAAUUGACGGGGGCCCGCACAAGCGGUGGAGCAUGUGGUUUAAUUCGAUGCAACGCGAAGAACCUUACCUGGUCUUGACAUCCACAGAAUCUUGCAGAGAUGUGAGAGUGCCUUCGGGAACUGUGAGACAGGUGCUGCAUGGCUGUCGUCAGCUCGUGUUGUGAAAUGUUGGGUUAAGUCCCGCAACGAGCGCAACCCUUAUCCUUUGUUGCCAUCGGUUAGGCCGGGAACUCAAAGGAGACUGCCGUUGAUAAAGCGGAGGAAGGUGGGGACGACGUCAAGUCAUCAUGGCCCUUACGACCAGGGCUACACACGUGCUACAAUGGCGUAUACAAAGGGAGGCGACCUCGCGAGAGCAAGCGGACCUCAUAAAGUACGUCUAAGUCCGGAUUGGAGUCUGCAACUCGACUCCAUGAAGUCGGAAUCGCUAGUAAUCGUGAAUCAGAAUGU
rnacentral:rRNA from 1 species